rnacentral:rRNA from 1 species
UACGUAGGGGGCUAGCGUUGUCCGGAAUCAUUGGGCGUAAAGAGCGUGUAGGCGGUUCGGUAAGUCGGCUGUGAAAGUCCAGGGCUCAACCCUGGGAUGCCGGUCGAUACUGCCGGACUAGAGUUCGGAAGAGGCGAGUGGAAUUCCCGGUGUAGCGGUGAAAUGCGCAGAUAUCAGGAAGAACACCCGUGGCUAAGGCGGCUCUCUAGUACGGUACUGACGCUGAGACGCGAAAGCGUGGGGAGCGAACAGG